GGGCACGCAGUGCCGGCGUCAUGGCGGUCUCCGCGCAAGGCUCUGCCUGGGGGCCGUUGCGGCUUGGCAUCCCCGGCAUGUGCUGCCGCCGGCCGCCUCUGGGUCUGUACGCGCGCGUGCGGCGGCUGCCCGGGCCGGAGGUGUCUGGGCGGAGCGUGGCUGCGGCCAGCGGACCGGGCGCCUGGGGCACUGACCACUACUGCCUGGAGCUGCUGCGGAAACGGGAUUAUGAAGGUUAUUUAUGCUCCCUGCUGCUCCCUGCAGAAUCCCGAAGCUCUGUUUUUGCACUGAGGGCCUUUAAUGUGGAACUGGCUCAGGUUAAAGACUCAGUCUCUGAGAAAACAAUUGGACUGAUGCGAAUGCAGUUUUGGAAAAAAACUGUGGAAGAUAUAUACUGUGACAAUCCACCACAUCAGCCUGUGGCCAUUGAACUAUGGAAGGCUGUUAAAAGACAUAAUCUGACUAAAAGAUGGCUUAUGAAAAUCAUCGAUGAAAGAGAAAAAAAUCUGGAUGACAAAGCAUAUCGUAAUAUCAAGGAACUGGAAAAUUAUGCUGAAAACACACAGAGCUCUCUUCUUUACUUAACACUAGAAAUAUUGGGUAUAAAGGAUCUUCAUGCAGAUCAUGCUGCAAGUCAUAUUGGAAAAGCACAAGGCAUUGUCACUUGCUUGAGAGCAACACCAUAUCAUGGGAGCAGAAGAAAGGUGUUCCUUCCCAUGGAUAUUUGUAUGCUGCAUGGUGUUUCACAAGAGGACUUUCUACGGAGGAACCAAGAUAAAAAUGUGAGAGAUGUAAUAUAUGACAUUGCCAGUCAGGCACACUUGCACCUAAAGCAUGAAAUUAAGGAUGCAGACACUCAGGGCGUGUGUCUUGCACAGCCAGCCAGCCUGGGAAAAUGAAGCCAACUGGGAGAGAGAUUUGAAGGACUCUGGUUCUAGGCAUGCCCACUUCUCCAGGACCUUUGUGAUUACAUUGGGUCACCUAGACUAGCCCCUGCCUGCUUUGCUGAUAAGGAAACUGAAAUUCAGAUUGGUAAAGUGAAAAUGACUUAUCCAAGAUCAUGCAGUCCUUGAAACUUUCUCCAGUUGACUCAGCCACACUGGUUGGAGCUCUGUUGCACAUACUCAGAGGAACGCACACUUCUCCAUUCAAACGACCGCAUCAGGAAGUUAGAAGCAUAACUUUGACUCAGUCGAGGCUUUUCUAGCCACGUAUUUCACAUACGCGAGCUGUCAGACCUCGGAUGAGGGUCUUUACGCAGCUUCAAGAUGCCGCAGAUGGUGAUUUGUUCUUCAGCCAUGAUCACUGGGGCCUGGAUCAUGCUUUUUACGAGUGACUGUACUCGCCACUUUUUUGUUUUGUUUUGUUUGAGAUAGGAUCUUGCUCUGUCAUCCAGGCUGGAGUGCAGUGGUGCGAUCAUGGCUCACUGCAGCCUCAACCCCCUGGGCUCAAGCGAUCCUCCCACCUCAGCCCCCCAAGUAGCUGGGACUACAGGUGAAUGCCAACACAACCAGCUAAUUUUUCUUUUUUUUAGAGACGGGGUCUUGCUGUGUUGCUCAGGCUAGUCUUGAAUUUCUGCACUCAAGUGAUCCUCCUGCCUCGGCCUUCCAAAGUGCUGGAAUUACAGGUGUGAGCCACUGUGCCAAGCCUAACCACAUUGAAGGCUGAGUUUAACCAUAUUUUGAAGUAAAAAGUGCAUGUAUUUAAGAGAACUGAAAGUGACUCUGUGUGACUGGAUUAUUGUGUUGACACUAUUAGUUAGAAGCCUUGGUUGAAAUCAACAGAAAACCCAACUUACGCUGACUUAAACAAUAAAAAGAAUUCAUGGUCUCACCUAAAAAGUCAGGAGGCAGUUCAGGCUCUAGAUAAGGCUUGAUUAAGGAUCUUGUUUCUUUUCCUCUCUUUGUUCUGGCUUCCACUGUAUGAACUGCAUCCUAGGGCAGUCUUCCUUCAAAGUCCCAAAGCAGAUGCCAACAGUCCUGGGAUCAUAUGUUUCCUUGUUCAUGACAGCAAGAGAGAGAACCUCUCUGCCCUCAGAUGUCAGAUAAAUUCCUGGGCUUCAUACUAAUGGGACUGGUGGCUGUAUCCAGGAGCACGGGAUACCCUGCUGAGCAUAGAUCAGCUCAUCACUGGAGUUGCGGGGGAAUUAAUCCCAUUCAGAUUAUACUUGCCUUGCUGAGAGUGGGUUUGAAUGGUUAUGCAAAGGAAAAUUAGGGUGUUGUUUUAGAGAGAGUAAAUGGAUGCAAGGAGGCAAAAAAUACCAACACUCUCUAUUGAGUGUACUGGUAGAAAAACUGUGAGGUCCCUGGAAAGGUGGGCUGAGGAGUGAGAGUGGAUUUUAAAGAGUCUGAACUUGAAAUCUUUGAAAGACUUUAGUCAGCGAUUAUCACCCAACAUCCACAGAAAGCUCUCCAGGGACAUUUAAUAUCCAAUAAUCUUUUUACAAAUAAAGCUUUGUGUGUGUGUGGUUGUACAAGUUAAAUGUCUGGAUAGUGAGUAGAUGAAUGCCUGUUAUUUUGGGCAUUGCACUUUUGUUAUGUUUGGAAUAUUUCACAAUUAAAAAGUGAACGCAAUGCACAGGCUUGACAGAAAUUACCAGUGUUCACCAGUGUAUCAUUUUUUCUCCUUCCUGGGUGCAGGAAGACUGCACUUCUUAGCUUGCCUUUUAGUUAGACAGGCCGUAUGACUAGGCUGUGGACAAAAAUGACAUAUGUCUCUUCCAGGCCAAGGCAGCAAAAAUUCCUAUGCAAACUUUCAGUUCUCUCUUCUCCUUCAGAGUGAUAGUGGAGGCCAGAUAUUAAGAUGGUGGAGUUGUAAGAACAAAGCAGCCUGGAUCACUGAGUCACUGCAUGGAUGUCAGCUGCUUUGGAGAGCCAGUAGAUGUUCUGGUUAUUGAUUUCCAUGUGUUCAACCUCCCCAAAAAACUUAGUAGUUUCAAGCAACAAUUUACUAUUAUCUCUUAUGAUUCUGUGUCGGCUGACUGGGCUAAGCUGGGCAGUUCUUGCUUGGGUCUUUCAUCUGAUUGCCGUCAGGUGUUGACUGGAGCUGCAGUCACCCUAACAACUCAUCUGAUCUGGAUCUCCAAAGUGGCUCACUUGUCUGGCUGCAAUUAAUGCUGGCUAUUGACUGAGUGUAAGGAAGCUGUCAACUGGAGCACCUAUGUGACUUUAGAGUCUCACUGCAUGGGUUCUGGGUUCCCACCAGAUGCAUCCCAAGAGUGAGUAUUCCAGGAGACCAAGAUGGGAUUGAAAAAGCUUCUUACAAGCUACCCCUGGAUGUCCUGGAACAUCAUUGCUGCCAUAUUCUGUUGGUCAAGGCAAGUCACUAAGGCCAGUUCAGGUUCAAAGGGAGGGGCAUUAGACUCCUAACGUUGGUGCAAUGAGUAGCAUAUGCCACAGAGUGGGAAAGUAUUAAUAAUGGUUAUCUUUUAUUAUCUACUGCACCUAACUUACAGCUGACUUUGGGUGAGAAAUACAUUUUAUGUGUUAAGCCA